rnacentral:rRNA from 1 species
AGCAGCCGCGGUAAUUCCAGCUCCAAUAGCGUAUAUUAAAGUUGUUGCAGUUAAAAAGCUCGUAGUUGAAUUUUGGAUUCUGCCUAUCGGUCCGUCUUUUAGACGAGUACUGGUGGUGUAGGGUCUAUCUGCCUGAUGAUACGUAAUGUCCUUUAUUGGGUGUUGCGAGUAGUCAGGACCUUUACCUUGAAAAAAUUUAGAGUGUUUAAAGCAGGCUUAUGCCGGAAUACAUUAGCAUGGAAUAAUAGAAUAGGACGAAGUUGUUUAUUUUGUUGGUUUCUAGGACAACCGUAAUGAUUAAUAGGGAUAGUUGGGGGGCAUUAGUAUUCAAUUGUCAGAGGUGAAAUUCUUGGAUUUAUUGAAGACUAACUACUGCGAAAGCAUUUGCCAAGGAUGUUUUCAUUAAUCAAGAACGAAAGUUAGGGGAUCGAAGACGAUCAGAUACCGUCGUAGUCUUAACCAUAAACUAUGCCGACUAGGGAUCGGGCGAUGUUGUUUCCAUGACUCGCUCGGCACCUUA